AGUGUUGCUGAGUUGUAUCCAGAGCUAGGACAAUCUGGAAGUACAUUCCUGGUUAUCUUUUAACUGCACCUUUCCAGAGAAUGCACUUUAUCUUUUAAAAAAUUGUAUCUUUGAACAAUGCAACUUUUGAUAAUGUAAUGUGAAUGCUACAGGAAACAAAAAGGGAAUGCUUUAAAAGAAUCGUUGACCUUUAAAUGCCUGAUUCCCUUUACCAAUAAAAAGAGCUGUAAAGUGUAGCGAACAGCACCUGAUUGAUGGGAAUGUGAUGAUAAUCCAGCUCCUCCACUUGACAAGCCACAGAGAACAUCCAGAUAAAACAGCCUGUGCUUCUGACACCCAGAAAUGGCUGAAACGACUGCCAGAAGUUAUUGAGCUGGAGAGAAUUUUAAAUGUGAGCUGGAGAAUGCAGUAAUGAAACUUCCCUUAAUAAGUUUUAUAAACAGACAUAUUCAAAAAUUAUUGAAGCCAGCUGAAAGUAACUGUUUAGGAGUUUUGGGUAAGUCCUGGAGCUGUCAGAUUUUAGUUAUAAAUGUAUUUGUACUUAGUUAUGUGCACACUCUUCCUUCUAGACCCAUUUGUUUUGUAACAGGACUUAAAAAAAUUUCACCUGGCAAGUCAGUCUUUAGCUGUAGACGGAAUCUAGGAUCUGAGCACCAAGUGUGGGGUGUUGAAAUAUGAUUUAAACAUAAAAGACAGAAAGUGGCACUGUGGAGGUAUGAAGCACUGCAGCUGAAACGGAACAAUGUUGCUUAGUGUUAGAGAGUAAACAAAUGUUUUAUUCCUGACAAAGGGCAGAAUUUGGUCAGUAAG